GCCAUAUUUUUUUUCUCAGGUGCUGGUGGAGACCAAAAACAGAGCUAAAAGAGAGUGAAUAUGGGACUUACAUUCAUCAGGUGGAUGUGUCUUUCGCCCCUGGACAGAACAGCUGUUUUGCUCCAGAGACAUUGUGGGUCUGUGUUGCCGUGGCAAUGCCUCCAGUUACGCCAGCUGUUCUACUUCCUGAUGUCAACAUUGCUACUGGCAAACACGAUGAAAACAACAACGAUUUCAUCAACACAGUCUCUACCACGGGGAGGCCUUGACAGAGGUGAACUUCCUGUGACGACAGGGAGAGGCGGAAACAGAGGAUGGGUCAACAUCUGUUGCAAGGGGCAACAAGUGCCUAAACCUCCCACAUGACGGCCGAUCACCAGUGAGUGCCUGACUGUCAAAAGGAAAAGAGGAAGUUCAGUGCAACCGCCAUGGAUAGUGAGGUGCAGAAAUUGUCAAACACAGCCCCCUCUAAUCUGAUGUUGUAAAGCUGUCUGAUGUAGCCAGAAGCAGUAACUGGACCGUGGUGUCACUUCCUGAAAAAACAGACAAGUCCAUCACAUCCAUCACCUGGACAGGACCAGGGGAGACGGUGUGACUCGGCUGAGUCUCAACUGGGUCAAACAACUAACAUGUUGUCACUGAAAGGUUUGUCAUAACUGAACCACUCAUUUAAUAGCAGCUCGUAAAAAAAUGCCUCUCGCCAACAGUAUCUGACCAUUGACUAAAACCCUCCCCCAAACUGUAAUCGUCGUGUCAGAUCAGGUCUGUAGAGCUUUAAUUUUUCUGCAUGUUGCAGCAGUGUAUAUGGAGCUGUAGUAAGAGACACACCCGGGAUAUAAACAGUUUGAUGGGUUGUGUCUUCCUAAACCAAAAACACAAGUAGAAAUGUAAAGAAUGUGUUAAAUACAUCUGUAACUGAUCAUUACUUCCAAGGCCACGGAGCACAUCAUUAACUAACUACAUUAGUUUGUGGAGCUACAAGGUACAAAAAAAAAAACAAAAAACAAAACAGUUCACGAUGAGCACAUCCGCGGCGGCUGACAUUAGCUGGCCUAUCUUGUUGUUUAUUGGAUUUGGGGAAGUUUACACUUCACCAACUCUGACUAACAAUACCAAAGAUACUAUAUCAGCCAAACACACAAGAAAGUAAAUGUCUCCUGACAAAAAAUAGUCCAGUUUAUGUUUCAGAUGAUAUGCAUUUCUUUUGAUUGUGUUUGGUUUUCCUUGAACACCCUCAUUCCUUCUUAUAGGAACAGUGAACUAAAAGUAAAAUUAUGUUCCAUCCACAUCCACAGUACUUGAUAGUUGAAUUAGCUUACCAUUUCCUAAAUGUCAGCGUGGUGCCCCUAUGUCUUUGCAGUUGGAGUAUUUUCUCAGUGUACAAAAAUACAGAGUGUUCUAUCCAGUCUGAUACCAAGUGACCUGCACCAAUGAAUAAAAGUUAAUCAUUUCCGAUGACUACCAAAGAGGAGAAACGUAUCAUGUACUUUGCUUCCAUUUUUUUCUAAAAAUGUCAAGAGUUGCUGCCAAACCCACAUAGAAUAUCAGAGCCAACCUUUGGAUAGAGUAUCUUAUCUUGUCCCAGCAGUUUUGUUGAUGCUUCUUGUCUAACUCCCAGUCAUGUAUAGAUUUAUUUAGUCCAUAAAUCUGUUCCUCCCAAGAAGCAGUAACAUCGGAAAACAUAAUUAACAGAGACAAAACAUUACUGAAUACCAGAUGCUUCUUAUUAACAGCAGUGCAACAGCUAAAUUAGCUUCUGAAAGAUAUCUUCUUGGGCGGUGGAUGAGAGAUUGUUGAAUAAGACUUUGAUUCGUCUUUCACAUUAUCAUUAGGUUUUUAUUUCCUGAUGAAAAAUGUAAUACCUUUCAUCAUAUUUCGUCACAGUUUCAUUGCCUGAAGUAACGCUGCUUAUCGUAUGUUUUGUGUCUGAUUAGCUGUCCGUUGUUAGAAUUAGAAUCACAGUUCCGGUCUGGUGAAACUAAUCUCAGCAUGUGUUGAAGUGACUAAAACACAGCUCGUCUUUGUUCAUCUGGUCAGUGGACAUGAUAUAAAAGAAGAAAUAGACCACCAGGUAUUCUGAUAUCAGACAAUUACCAACUCUCGUCUUUUUUUUUUUAAACAAUAUAAGGACACUCAGAGUGUGUGGGAACAGUAGCUGGUCAGAUUCCAACAUAAUAACUGCAGGGUCAGUAGCAGGAAAUACCAACAAACACCCAGUGAAUGUGUAUGUGUAUAUGUAGUGCAGAGUUCCUGUCUGACAUUUACCCAAAGAGUCUGUCUGCUCCACUACUGUCUUUCUGUCUGGAACUAUUUUUAUCAGUUUGGAUAAAACCAAACUGGUAGCUGAUGAAGUAGUUAUACAUUGUAGAAUAGAGUUCUUAGAAAGAAAGUGUUUUCUUUGACCACUCUGCUGUUCAAGAGUGUUGUUUAAAAGAACAUUUCUGCCUCUUUUCCUUUCUUCCUGUCUCUCUGGUUUAUUUACUGAUUGAAGGUCUGGAAUAAAUCACAGGGCAGUUUGAGUUCUUCAGUGACUCUUUUAGUACAAAUAUUUUCCCCCUCAACGUAAACUAAACACAUCUAAUACCAGUUGUACAUCACUUCAUAGUUCAAAUUGCUUAUAAAGUCAUUGUUUAUUGAGUCCAGUAACAUUGGAUUAAAACUGUUUGACUCACACAAAGUAGUUCUUCUAUAGAAUUUAUUUUAGAGAAUAUUUACAGCUGGAGGAAUCAGCUGAUAAAUGGAAUAAAGGCAGACACAGAAGAACUGAUAUGACAAUAUAGUGGUGAAGGAUGUAUUGCAUUCUACUACUGGGCUCUACAUCUGUUCACUUUUAUUGUAUAAUCAUGUCUCAUAUCCUCUUGACUAUUGAGCUUUUUGGGCAGUUUUGUUGCCUUGGUAACCAACAGACAAAAUAAUACAACCGACAAACUACAUGCUAGUGGCUGUGUGAGGCUGUUCGUGCUAUAGUUUGUUGUGUAACCUAUAUUUAAUCAGGUAGUCUCAUUGAGACCUGUGCACGACAGAUGAAAAGAAAAACAUAUUAAAAAAAACAAAUUAAAAUGAAGAAUACAAACAAUCAGCAUAGCCAGAUACAACAAAAGCCACGCAACAUCAUAGACAAUCACAGACGUCAAUAAAUAGAAGUUUAAAGUUUAUAAUCGACCAGAGAAAUUAGAUGUUUAUGUUUUAAAAUCAUCUGUAAUUUAUUCAUUUAUGAGAUGCAAAGUAGUGGAAGGUAGUUUUCCCCAAGUUGUAAGGGUAACUACAGUUGAACAGGCCUGAGAUCUGCUCUGGUGAGCUGUGGUUUUAAAUUUUAGAGAAGUGAUACACUGGCACGUUUUUCAGGGGAGAGUGACGCAGCUAAGUUUUCUUAUUGGUGCCAGUUACGACCAACCAACCUUUAACGGUUUUAACUUCCUGUAAUGAAAUGCAAAAUGCAAUGAUAAACUGCAUCAAGUUGAUUUUAAGGUGGAGUGAGCAAUCUCUGUAGUCAAGCAGACAUGAUGGUUAACGUGCUUACAGUGACAAAGCUAACAUGCUGAUAUUUAGAAGGUGUAUAAUGUUUAACUUGUUCACCAAUUUGUCUGAGACACAAAGAUCUCCAGAUCGUUUCACUGGUACCUGAAACAAGCCCCCACAACCACUUUGGUCCACAAUGAAAUAUCAGCGGCUAUUGUAAUGAAAAUAAUUGUAAUGAAAUUUAGUAUAAACGUUUCACUCACUAUUCACCAUAUAUGCACUAUUUAUUUUAUUUGAGUGUCCAAAUCCCUUCAAAAAAUCCAACAGUGAUUUAAAAGAAAUGAAAUCAGUAAUUUGAAAAGAGUGAUGAUGCAAAAUGACAAUGAUUCAUAUUUUUCUGAGGAAUGUCCUUCCUUGAGUUGUGAAUGUGUGAACAAGUGUGACCACAUCCUUUGUUUUAUGACUUAGUGUAGUACAGUGUUGGUUUCUGUUUGAAAUCUGGCUUAUGGAUUCAACUAUUUUGCUGGAUGACUUUGAUUUUUCUUUUUGUUUUUUGCACCGCUCCCCUCAUCAAGUGCCUUGCUGCUUCGUGCAGUGCUAAUGAUGGUCUGACCACAGCCUUAAUUAUACUUUAUACUGUCACAAGUGUGACUUCAGAUGACCAGGAUUAGAUGACCACAUGACAAUUGUCACGUAACCUGUCCUCAUGACUUCUUUUCAUUUACAGUCCAGCAGUACUCAGAUGUUUUACUUAAGUAACAGUAGCAAUACAAUACACAGUGUAGAAAUACUGCAAUCAGAAUAUGAAACUAUUGGCAUCAUAGAUAAUUGAUAUACCAAAUGUGAAAGUACACAUGUACAGACUGGCCCAUUUUAGAAUAAUGUACUGUAUAUUAUAUUAUUGGAUUAUACUAUUAAUGCAUCAAUAAAGUGUAAAUCUCUUCAAUGCUGCAGCUGGUAAAUUUAAUUACUUUACAUACUGCUGGAUAGCUUGUGACUUUUAACCUGUAAUAAUACUGUAAUUGUCCUUAUUGUAUUAAUCUGAAUCUGCAAAUUAACAAAUGUUAAAAGUAAAAAGUACAAUAUUU